rnacentral:rRNA from 1 species
AGUGAACGCUGGCGGUAGGCCUAACACAUGCAAGUCGAACGGAAGCACAGUAAGAGCUUGCCCUUACGGGUGGCGAGUGGCGGACGGGUGAGGAAUACAUCGGAAUCUACUUUUUUGUGGGGGAUAAAGUAGGGUAACUUACGCUAAUAACGCAUACGACCUACGGGUGAAAGCAGGGGAUUUUCGGACCUUGCGCGAUUGAAUGAGCCGAUGUCGGAUUAGCUAGUUGGCGGGGUAAAGGCCCACCAAGGCGACGAUCCGUAGCUGGUCUGAGAGGAUGAUAGGCGACACUGGAGCGGAGACACGGUCCAGGCGACUACGAGAGGCAGCAGUGGGGAAUAUUGGACAAUGGUCGCAAGCCUGAUCCAGCCAUACCGCGUGGGUUAAGAAAGCCUUCGGGUUGUAAAGACCGUCUGUUGGGAAAGAAAAGCAGCAGGUUAAUACGCCGCUGUUCUGACGGUACCCAAAGAAUAAGCACCGGCUAACUUCGUG